AAAUUCACUAGCCACCCAUCUCCCUAUUCUCAAUGGCAAUGGCAACCCAAGCCUCCCUCUUCACUCCAUCAACCCUCCGCACCCCAAAAUCCGGCGACCGCAUCGCCGCCGUGUUACGGAAACAACCACCAUUCCUAACACUCCCUAGCUUCAAGUCCCCAAAAAUCAUCAUCGCCCCACGCACCAUCAAAGCCGAAGCAACCGAAGAGAAAGCCGAGACAACCGCCACAAAGGAAGCACCAGUCGGU
rnacentral:lncRNA from 1 species